rnacentral:rRNA from 1 species
UACGGGGGGGGCAAGCGUUGUUCGGAAUUACUGGGCGUAAAGGGCUCGUAGGCGGCCAACUAAGUCGGAUGUGAAAUCCCCGGGCUCAACCCGGGAACUGCGUCCGAUACUGGCAGGCUUGAAUCCGGGAGAGGGAUGCGGAAUUCCAGGUGUAGCGGUGAAAUGCGUAGAUAUCUGGAGGAACACCGGUGGCGAAGGCGGCAUCCUGGACCGGUAUUGACGCUGAGGCGCGAAAGCCAGGGGAGCAAACGGG